GACGAACGCUGGCGGCGUGCUUAACACAUGCAAGUCGAACGGAAAGGCCCUGCUUUUGUGUGGUGCUCGCGUGGCGCACGGGUGAGUAACACGUGAGUAACCUUCCCUUGACUUUGGGAUAACUUCAGGCAACUGGGGCUAAUACCUGCUAGGAGCUCCUGCUGCAUGGUGGGGGUUGGAAAUUUUCGGCGGUUGGGGAUGGACUCUCGGCUUAUCAGCUUGUUGGUGGGAGAGUGGCUUACCCAGGCUUUGACGGGUAGCCGGCCUGAGAGGGUGACCGGCCACAUUGGGACUGCGAUACGGCCCAGACUCCUACGGGAGGCAGCAGUGGGGAAUAUGGCACAAUGGGCGGAAGCCUGAUGCAGCAACGCCGCGUGCGGGAUGACGGCCUUCGGGUUGUAAACCGCUUUCGCCUGUGACGAAGCGUGAGUGACGGUAAUGGGUAAAGAAGCACCGGCUAACUACGUG
rnacentral:rRNA from 1 species